UACGAAGGGGGCUAGCGUUGUUCGGAAUUACUGGGCGUAAAGGGCGCGCAGGCGGUCUUCCAAGUCAGAUGUGAAAGCCCCGGGCUCAACCUGGGAACUGCAUUUGAGACUGGAGGACUAGAGUUCGGGAGAGGAGAGCGGAAUUCCCAGUGUAGAGGUGAAAUUCGUAGAUAUUGGGAAGAACACCGGUGGCGAAGGCGACUCUUUGGCCUGUAACUGACGCUGAGGAGCGAAAGCGUGGGGAGCGAACAGG
rnacentral:rRNA from 1 species